rnacentral:rRNA from 1 species
UACGUAGGGUCCGAGCGUUGUCCGGAAUUACUGGGCGUAAAGCGCGCGCAGGCGGCCCGCGAGGUGUCACGUGAAAGCCCCGGGCUCAACCCGGGAGGGUCGUGGCAAACCGGCGGGCUUGAGGCCGGUAGAGGUGGGUGGAACUCCUGGUGGAGUGGUGAAAUGCGUAGAGAUCAGGAAGAACACCCGUGGCGAAGGCGGCCCACUGGGCCGGUACUGACGCUGAGGCACGAAAGCGUGGGGAUCAAACAGG